rnacentral:misc_RNA from 1 species
UGUGUGUGUGUGUGUAUAUAUGCUUGUAUAUAAAUGCAAACACUCCUAUGCUCCUCUACUCAAAUAUGUGUCUAUUGAAGUUUGUGCACCAUAUUUUAGCAAAUCUGCAAGUCUACUUUUAAUUUAUGUCAAGAAUUUUAGCAUAAACACUAUUUUAGCUGAAAUCACAAAGUGGUUCUUAUUUUUAGUGGAACAGAAAAAUACGUUCUGUGAGUUAUGUCUCUCACUUUGCAUGUUGCAAUGAGGACAGAUUGGCAUAGCCCUUGGGAGCAAUCACUAUAAAAGGACCCCUAUUACCAAUAAUCAUUCAUACAAUUGAAAUAAGCAUGGUGGUGGUAUUAUUUUGUUCAAAUGCUAGCAACAAGUUGAUAUCCUGAAUUGUUUUCUCAUAAUGAUUUUUGAGGUUUAAAUUUUUCCUUCAUUUUUGUUUUGUUCUUCUGACAUCUAUAUGGUUUUCGUGUCCAGCUGUAAUGACUCUGGUCGACACACAAGCUCACAUGACAAUGAUGAUUGGUUAAACAGGAGAUGGCAGCAUUCAUCAUCUACUGUAUUUAUAUCUUAUUACACUUGAAACACAGGAGUUAUAAGCGUUUCUGGGCUCUGUUGCCUUGCCAUUUCCUGUCAAUAUUUUUUGGAAGGAUGCUUGGAGUUAAAAACAUGUACAGAAAGUUGGGAACCAAGUCGGAGUCCAGAUUUUGUCCAAAGAUAAUGUGCCUGGCUUUUUCUUUUUAUUUUUUAAUAUCAAUUUAUGGCAGCUCCAAAACGAAACUAUCUGUGAGCCGUCCUGCUGAUAUUGUUGUAUUUACUUCAUGCCAGCAUCAAAUUGAAGAAAUCUAAUGUAUUAUCCUCUGUAUUUAUUACCUGAAGAAUCCUAUGGAAUAUUUAGACAUUCAACUCAAUUAAACCUUUAUCUAAAAAAUUUUUUGGGAUGGCUAUUUAGAC